rnacentral:rRNA from 1 species
UACGUAGGGAGCGAGCGUUAUCCGGAUUUAUUGGGCGUAAAGCGCGCGUAGGCGGCUUACUAAGCGAGGUGUUAAAGCCCGGGGCUCAACCCCGGCCCGCACCUCGAACUGGUAGGCUUGAGUCUGGUAGGGGAAAGUGGAAUUCCCAGUGUAGCGGUGAAAUGCGCAGAUAUUGGGAAGAACACCAGUGGCGAAGGCGGCUUUCUAGGCCACGACUGACGCUGAGGCGCGAAAGCUAGGGGAGC